CCAAUAGCGUAUAUUAAAGUUGUUGCAGUUAAAAAGCUCGUAGUUGAAUUUCGGGGUCAGUAGGUUGGUCAUGCCACUGGUAUGUACUGGUCUCACUGAUUCCUCCUUCCUGAUGAACUGUAAUGCCAUUAAUUUGGUGUUGCAGGGAAUCUGGACUGUUACUUUGAAAAAAUUAGAGUGUUUAAAGCAGGCUAACGCCUGAAUACAUUAGCAUGGAAUAAUGAAAUAGGACGUUCGAUCCUAUUUUGUUGGUUUCUAGGAUUGACGUAAUGAUUAAUAGGGAUAGUGGGGGGCAUUAGUAUUCAAUUGUCAGAGGUGAAAUUCUUGGAUUUAUUGAAGACUAACUACUGCGAAAGCAUUUGCCAAGGAUGUUUUCAUUAAUCAAGAACGAAAGUUAGGGGAUCGAAGACGAUCAGAUACCGUCGUAGUCUUAACCAUAAACUAUGCCGACUAGGGAUCGGAUGAUGUUAAUUUUUUAAUGACUCAUUCGGCGCCUUACG
rnacentral:rRNA from 1 species